UAACCUCCGUAGAUUUCUGCACCUUUAAUUUCCCUAAUUUUUUAACCUUUCCCUCAGUUUUACAUUCUCGCUCUACUAAGGUUUUCCCACACAUUUCCAAAUCCACAUUCUCGUUUUCACUCCAAUUUUUCGCUAAAUGUUCUUUUGAUCAACAAUGAGCACCACGAGCUAUGUUAGGUAGGAUGGAUCUAAAUCCAGCAGUGACUGCACCUGAAUCCAUGGAGAUGAUGAGGCUGCACCAUAAUCAAGAGGCAGAGGUCAUUGUUUGGGGACGAAGAACCCUAAGACAGUGAUCGCAGUGAUGCAAACAGGGACAAAAUUGAGGAAGCUUUAAGGCUGGCAGAGCUAUCAGCCGAGAAGCCUCAUUUUUCACAUUGUCUAGAGUGGUUCUUUUUACAGUAUUUGAAGCAGAUAUAUCCAGUGACAUCGUCCACAUGGUUAGCUAUGCACCUCUCUUCGUAAACGCCAACGACAAAAGGUGGACACCGGAUGUAGUUGUAUUUGACUCUCACCAACGUUAUGGAACUCUCAGCUAUUGGAUUCAACAUCUUUUUAGCACUUCAAGUGGAUCCACUUUGCUUUAUUCAACUGUUGAAAUUGUGGCAUCAACAAUUGAGUAUAGAAAUCCUGUAGACAAGAACAAGUACUUGAGAAUAAAGGUUUUAAACUUUGACAAUGAUCCUCACGACUUUAGGUUUUCUAUUAGUUUUAUAUUUAGAACAAUAUCUAUACUUUUUUCAACAUUAUGUAUUUUCUUUUUUAAUAUUUACAUGGUAAUUGUUAACAC